rnacentral:rRNA from 1 species
UGGGGAAUUUUGGACAAUGGGCGCAAGCCUGAUCCAGCCAUGCCGCGUGUCUGAAGAAGGCCUUCGGGUUGUAAAGGACUUUUGUCAGGGAAGAAAAGGGCGGGGUUAAUACCCCUGUCUGAUGACGGUACCUGAAGAAUAAGCACCGGCUAACUACGUGCCAGCAGCCGCGGUAAUACGUAGGGGGCGAGCGUUAAUCGGAAUUACUGGGCGUAAAGCGGGCGCAGACGGUUACUUAAGCAGGAUGUGAAAUCCCCGGGCUCAACCUGGGAACUGCGUUCUGAACUGGGUGACUAGAGUGUGUCAGAGGGAGGUAGAAUUCCACGUGUAGCAGUGAAAUGCGUAGAGAUGUGGAGGAAUACCGAUGGCGAAGGCAGCCUCCUGGGAUAACACUGACGUUCAUGCCCGAAAGCGUGGGUAGCAAACA